rnacentral:tRNA from 2 species
GCGCUCGUAGCUCAACGGACAAGAGCAGCUGACUUUUAAUCAGCGAGAUGUAGGUUCAACUCCUAUCGGGCGUACCA